rnacentral:rRNA from 1 species
GACGAACGCUGGCGGCGUGCCUAAUACAUGCAAGUAGGACGCAGUUGCGAACGGGUGAGUAACGCGUAGGUAACUACCUAUUAGAGGGGGAUAACUAUUGGAAACGAUAGCUAAUACCGCAUACUAGUAGAUGGACCUGCGUUGUAUUAGCUAGUAGGUAGGGUAAUGGCCUACCUAGGCAACGAUACAUAGCCGACCUGGGAAGGAUGUCGGCCACACUGGGACUGGGGCACGGCCCAGGCUCCUACGGGGGGGAGGCGUAGGGAAUUAUCGGCAAUGGGGGGAACGCUGACCGAGCAACGGCGCGUGAGUGAAGGAAGUUUUCGGAGCGGAAAGCUCUGUUGUUAAGGGAGCGGUACUUAACCAGAAAGGGACGGCUAACUACGUGCCAGCAGCCGCGGUAAUUC